rfam:Nicotiana attenuata strain TT chromosome 10, whole genome shotgun sequence.
UGUAUUCGAUUGUAUUCGACUGUAUUCACGGCGUGAAACAGGGGAUUACACUGUUUUCAAACGGAAAGUGAAUCAAUUAACAUAAUAGACUCCU